GCGGGGCCGACUGAGGCAGAAAGAUAAACAUUCAGAUAGGCUAUAGAAGGAACACAAUAGAGCAAUAAAUGUAUAGAUAGGUAAAGUCGUUGAUAAAUGGAAGAGAGAAAGACCAGUGAGACGGUAAUAGCGACUAAAGGGUUCUCUUUAAGGACAGGAUCGUGCAGUACUGUGUUACAGAGAUACAGAUUUAAAGCAAUGAGCUAAGCAUGGUGACUACAUGGACACUGCAUACUCAGAUUCAUUCAUUUCAACUUCAAGUCACUGUGUGAAAAAUAAAUGUACAAUAUCAAAAAGUGAGGCGAAAAUGACAAAAUAGAAAAACACUAAGAUUUGUGAAUUCAUUUUGCAUUCUUCAUUCGACCUUUAAUAUUGAAUUUAAGCAUUAUUUUUUGUAGAUAUAGAUUUGUAUUUUCUGAAUUCUUUCUAUAAUUUGAAUGAAUGUCGACCUUUAUCAAUGGAUCAGAGUUAUGAGAGUGCAGCUUUCAAUUCUCUUUUUUUCUUUGGCGUCUGCCUGCGAGCCAGAACCUCCCUAGAAUAAAUGUGCAUUUUCCCUCAAUGUUUUAUUGACAGUAACAUGGCUCCCCCAAAACUUGAUUAUGUCUCUCAGUUUCUUGAUUUUUUUCUCUGUAGUCAACAUGUCUUUCUUUCUGUCUUCCCUUUCAGAUAUGCAAAUGUGUGGAAAAAGUGUCAGGCAGUGGAGAGUUCACAAGAGGUAUAAAGUUAAUGUUGCUGUACUGUGACCUAGCCAAAGCAACACAGAUUUUUACCAUUCAAGAUUUAGGUCAAGAGUAGGCAGCCAGGUGCCAUGAGAGUAUGCAGACUUUCAUUCCAGCCAAAGGCAAAAGUCAGGGUAUUACACUGAUGAACACUAGCUGAGAGGAGGAACUACUGUUUGUCAGGAAAAACCUCUUGGUGUAAACUUGUUUAGUUUGGAAUGAAAACAAGCAUUUGAUUUCCUGUUCCUGACCUGAACCAAGAGAAGAAGAAAAAAAGGGUGAUGGAGAAAGGGAUAUAUAAUUUUUCAAUAUUGUGUUUGUGAUGUAAGAUUUAUUCUAUAAUUGAAGGCAUGGUUGAAAAAACACAAGACAUUUAUACUGCUUUUUUCAAAUAUAUUUAGUUUUAAUUAUAAUGUUGGUGAAACUACACAUAGUAUCAACUUUGUAUUCAUUUUAUACAUUUUAGUUUAAAAAGCAAAGGCACAUAUGAAGAAACUGCAGCUCUUGUAUUUAGUGUUUUUUACUAAACAUGGUAUCAACAACAGACAAUGAACAGGAACGACACAGUGUCAUUUUGGCUUUGAAUCAUCAAAAAAUGAAAGCAACACAUACAAAAACACUUUAGCAAAUACUGCAGCAGACUUUAUUACAAAUUUUGUUUUAUUACAAACAAGUUAUGCAUU